CUGGAGGGCAGAGUGAAAGCAGGGGAAAGCUGCAGCCUUUCUUCUUCGUCCUCCUUGGGGAGCUAAUUACAGGCCAGCAGCCACUGUGCAGGUGAGCUGUGGACAGCAGCAGCCCAAGGACGCUAUCAGGGAUGCUCUGGAGGAGCCAAAGGCAGAAAUGUGAACCUUACGCUGAGGCCACGGAGAGUGAGGGCUCUCAGAGGAACCCCUGCUCGCCACCAUCCCGGGGAGGGGCCUUUCUCUCUCCCAGAAUGAAUCCCUUGUAACCUCCUGGGAUCUUUCUUUUCAUCACAAGAACCAAAUAAAGAAACUUGAAGAUCUUCUA
ensembl:lncRNA LRP1-AS LRP1 antisense RNA